rnacentral:rRNA from 1 species
CCUACGGGAGGCAGCAGUGGGGAAUAUUGGGCAAUGGGCGCAAGCCUGACCCAGCAACGCCGCGUGAAGGAAGAAGGCUUUCGGGUUGUAAACUUCUUUUCUCAGGGACGAAGCAAGUGACGGUAACUGAGGAAUAAGCCACGGCUAACUACGUGCCAGCAGCCGCGGUAAUACGUAGGUGGCAAGCGUUAUACGGAUUUACUGGGUGUAAAGGUCGUGUAGGCGGGGACGCAAGUCAGAUGUGAAAACCAUGGGCUCAACCUGUGGCCUGCAUUUGAAACUGUGUUUCUUGAGUUCUGGAGAGGCAGACGGAAUUCCUGGUGUAGCAGUGAAAUGCGUAGAUAUUAGGAGGAACACCAGUGGCGAAGGCGGUCUUCUGGACAGCAACUGACGCUGAGGCGCGAAAGCGUGGGUAGCAAACAGGAUUAGAUACCCUUGUAGUC